rnacentral:rRNA from 1 species
UACGGAGGGUGCGAGCGUUAAUCGGAAUCACUGGGCGUAAAGCGCACGUAGGCGGCUUGGUAAGUCACAUGUGAAAGCCCUCGGCUCAACCGGGGAACUGCGUGUGAAACUACAUUGCUAGAGUACCAGAGAGGUAAGCGGAAUUUCCUGUGUAGCGGUGAAAUGCGUAGAUAUUCGAAGGAACACCGGUGGCGAAGGCGGCUACCUGGACCGAUACUGACGCUGAGACGCGAAAGCGUGGGGAGCAAACAGG